ensembl:rRNA 5S_rRNA 5S ribosomal RNA
UCCUACGGCCAUACCACCCUGAGCACACCCGAUCUUGCCUGAUCUUGGAAGUUAAGCAGGGUUGGGCUUGGUUAGUACUUGGAUGGGAGACUGCCUGGGAAGACCAGAUGCUGUAAGCU